rnacentral:pre_miRNA from 1 species
ACAAAGGAAAAAGUGAAGCUGCCAGCAUGAUCUAGCUUUGGUUAGUGAGGCAGUGAGUGCUAACCCUUACUAGGUCAUGCUGUGCUGGCCUCACUCCUUCCUGUU